rnacentral:rRNA from 1 species
AUUGAACGCUGGCGGAAUGCUUUACACAUGCAAGUCGAACGGUAGAGGGGGCAACCCCUUGAGAGUGGCGAACGGGUGAGUAAUAUAUCGGAACGUGCCCAGUCGUGGGGAUAACGUAGCGAAAGCUACGCUAAUACCCCAUACGAUCUAUGGAUGAAAGCGGGGGAUCGCAAGACCUCGCGCGAUUGGAGCGGCCGAUAUCAGAUUAGGUAGUUGGUGAGGUAAAGGCUCACCAAGCCGACGAUCUGUAGCUGGUCUGAGAGGACGACCAGCCACACUGGAACUGAGACACGGUCCAGACUCUACGGGAGGCAGCAGUGGGGAAUUUUUGGACGAAAUGGACGCAAGUCUGAUCCAGCCAUUCCGCGUGCAGGAUGAAGGCCCUCGGGUUGUAAAC